rnacentral:lncRNA from 1 species
GUUUUUUUUACUAGUUUACCUAAGAGAUGAUAAAGACUUUGAAACUGCUAUGGCCGUAAGGUUGGAAUAGAAAAACGUGAGAGAUUAAAGACAAAGGAUUAUGAAAUUUUCAUGACUAAAAGGCAGGGCAGGAGUAUGGUUCAAGAACAAACGAGAGGUGAACCGUGGCCACCAAAAUGCGAAACAGAGUAAGGACUAAAAACUGUCCACAGAACUCACCAACCAAAGUGACCCUAUAAAGAGCUAGCAGUACAGAAUCGAGCCGAAGGCACACCAGCUACAGCAGACCAAGGCAUGGACAGAGGAGUGGGGCGCAUGGACUAGGAGAAGCCUACUGAUUAGCCAAGAGGGCGAGAGAAGAAGGAUGAACAGAUUUAAAUCCAAGCCAGAGGGGAGCAAAGCUCACACAAGACAUCCUGCUGAGUUCAACCCACCCACUGCCUCGGACAUUUAACUCCGUCUUCUAAGACCUCCUUGCUGGCCAGCCCUGCUGCUGUGGCUAACACACAGGCUCCCUACUUCCACACCUCCUGGGAACGUCUUCUGGAAGAACGUACAUCCCAAUAACAUGGGAAU